rnacentral:rRNA from 1 species
AGAGUCUGAGGAACACGCCGCGUGAGUGAUGAAGGUUUUCGGAUCGUAAAGCUCUGUUGCCCUGGAAGAACAAGUGCCGUUCAAAUAGGGCGGCACCUUGACGGUACCUAACCAGAAAGCCACGGCUAACUACGUGCCAGCAGCCGCGGUAAUACGUAGGUGGCAAGCGUUGUCCGGAAUUAUUGGGCGUAAAGGGCUCGCAGGCGGUUUCUUAAGUCUGAUGUGAAAGCCCCCGGCUCAACCGGGGAGGGUCAUUGGAAACUGGGGAACUUGAGUGCAGAAGAGGAGAGUGGAAUUCCACGUGUAGCGGUGAAAUGCGUAGAGAUGUGGAGGAACACCAGUGGCGAAGGCGACUCUCUGGUCUGUAACUGACGCUGAGGAGCGAAAGCGUGGGGAGCGAACAGGAUUAGAUACCCCAGUAGUCAA